rnacentral:rRNA from 1 species
CAGAGGUCUCAAGCGUUGUUCGGAUUCAUUGGGCGUAAAGGGUGCGUAGGCGGCGCGGUAAGUCGGGUGUGAAAUCUCGGAGCUUAACUCCGAAACUGCAUUCGAUACUGCCGUGCUUGAGGACUGGAGAGGAGACUGGAAUUUACGGUGUAGCGGUGAAAUGCGUAGAUAUCGUAAGGAAGACCAGUGGCGAAGGCGGGCCUCUGGACAGUUCCUGACGCUGAGGCACGAAGGCCAGGGAAGCAAACGGGAUUAGAUACCCCGGUAGUCCUGGCAGUAAACGGUGCACGUUUGGUGUGGGAGGAUUCGACCCCUUCUGCGCCGGAGCUAACGCGUUAAACGUGCCGCCUGGGGAGUACGGUCGCAAGAUUA